GGUGGUUCAGUGGUAGAGCGCUUGCCUCACAUGCAUGAGGUCCUGGGUUCAAUUCCUCAGCACCA
rnacentral:tRNA from 1 species